rnacentral:rRNA from 1 species
GACGAACGCUGGCGGCGUGCCUAACACAUGCAAGUCGAACGGAACUGUUUUGAAAGAUUUCUUCGGAAUGAAUUUGAUUUAGUUUAGUGGCGGACGGGUGAGUAACGCGUGAGUAACCUGCCUUCAAGAGGGGAAUAACAUUCUGAAAAGAAUGCUAAUACCGCCUGACAUAUCGGAACCACAUGGUUUUGAUAUCAAAGAUUUUAUCGCUUGAAGAUGGACUCGCGUCCGAUUAGUUAGUUGGUGAGGUAACGGCUCACCAAGACCGCGAUCGGUAGCCGGACUGAGAGGUUGAACGGCCACAUUGGGACUGAGACACGGCACAGACUCCUACGGGAGGCAGCAGUGGGGGAUAUUGCGCAAUGGGGGCAACACUGACGCAGCAACGCCGCGUGAAGGAUGAAGGUUUUCGGAUUGUAAACUUCUUUUAUUAAGGACGAAAAAUGACGGUACUUAAUGAAUAAGCUCCGGCUAACUACGUG